UUUUUAGACACAAAAAGAUAUAAGAUCAGAUACCCCUCCCCCUUUUUCGAUAGAACGGCGCAACCUAGGGCUCCCCUCUCUUCUCCAUUACUCAUCUUCAACUACACAGACACUAGACCUAGGACGAUAUCAAAUCCCUUACCCAUUUUGAGAACUGGAGCGUCGUUUCCCUUUGGUCUGGUCCCUCAUUUCUCGCUCAGCAACGGAGAGGAGAAGAUCAGACCUUAUCCACGAAGAGCUUUAAUUUCCUUCACCAAAAACCAUCCCCUAAACCUCCAUUGAAACACCUUCGAUAUACCAUGUAGAAACUCACAAAAACCAGCCGAAAUACCUCUGAAAAAAGCCAUUGAAGCAGCUCCGAAGCUUCCCCAUUAAUCGUGUCGAAGCUCUAUUACCCAAGGUUGCCGGCGAGCCUUUUUUGGCAGCCUUCGCUAUUGCUCUUCUCUACUAUUACAUCACCUCUGUCAUUUCUGGAUGUUCGAGUUUUGUUCCAAAUUUAGAAGAUGAAGUUGUGUUUUGUUGUUUCUACUUCCUUUGAGCUCCGUUCGAGUUAAUUUAUGUCGUUAUUUGGCCUAUUGUAGCUUGUGCUCUGUUCGAUCAGUUUUUAAUGGUGGGGUUCUGCCCAAUAUUCACCAGAAUUUGUUUUCCUAAGAAGAUUGGCAAAAAGGGAAAGCUGAAUUUGGCUCUGUUUCUCAGGAAUAUUAGAUAUGUAGGUGUUGUUUCAGGAGAUUGGGAAGUGAACUUUUAUUCUUUGAUAAAUGGUUAAUGUGAAUGACAACUUUGUUUCCUCAUCUUAUUAUUAUGUUGAGCGAUGUAGAAUUUAGUGAAGGAAAGUUAAUGGAUUUCCUUUAAUUGCCAGAAUUUCUAGUUUCUCUUGCUUCUGUGUUCA